rnacentral:rRNA from 1 species
UAGUCAUAUGCUUGUCUCAAAGAUUAAGCCAUGCAUGUCUAAGUAUAAACACCUUUAUACUGCGAAACUGCGAACGGCUCAUUAUAUCAGUUAUAAUCUACUUGAUCGUAUCCUCUUACUUGGAUAACCGUAGUAAUUCUAGAGCUAAUACAUGCAAAAGUUCCCGACUGGUGACGGAAGGGAAGUAUUUAUUAGGUCCAAAAUCAAUGCUGGCCAUUCCAAACUGGGGCAACCUGGGGUCAGGAAAGUUGAUGAUUCAUAAUAACUAAACGAAGCG